CAUCCCGGUUGUCCAGUGCACUGAGGCCAGGUCUAAAAUGCCCAGAGUGCAGUUUAGAGGUGGAGGCGCAUGGGCGUUUCCUAGGCAACCCAGGGCGGCGGCGGGAGGGCGGGCCCUGGAGGAGGAGGAAGGCUCCCACAUGCACCUGCUCUGCAUUUCUGUGGCCCGCUGGAUCCCUGGAUGGCUGUUCUUGAGGAGGGCGCGCAGAGGCACAAUACCAGGAGCAGGCAGCUGAGGAGCCCUAGAGCUGAAGGGAGGCUCCUGACUUGAAAGGCAGACUUGGCCUCGGCACCAUCUUCCUAGAAACCAGUUGCAGAAGAAGCCAAGAUGCAUGCAGGCUACAGGUGAAAGGGAAGUGCGCAGUCCGGUCAGCGUGACUUUAGCCUGCUUCAGACGCGCCUCCGGCCACUGCGUUGCUGUGUUUUCAUCUGGCACUGACUUCUGGGACCCAGUUGCCUGGCUCCCUGAAUACCUCUAACUUAGCUGUCUAUCACCUGCAUCCUGCACUCGGGAGGCUGAA